rnacentral:rRNA from 1 species
ACUCAAGUCGUAACAAGGUAACCGUAGAGUUUGAUCCUGGCUCAGACUAAGAUCUGACUGGGACCGCGGGAAGACGACCGGAAACGGACGCUAAUACCGCAUACGUCCUGACCUACAAAGUGAGGGAUCUUCAGACCUCACGCUAUCACUUGAGCCUAGGUCGGAUUAGCUAAUGGUGGGGUAAAGGCCUACCAAGGCAACGUCCGAUCUGGUCUGAGAGGAUGAUCCUCCACUGGAACUGAGAUCGACCGACUCCUAUCCUAGGCAAGGUGGGGAAUAUUGUACUUGGGCUAAAGCCUGAUCUGACAUGCCGCGUGUGUGAAGAAGGUCUUCGGAUUGUAAAGCACUUUACUUUUGAGGAAGGGCAAAGGUUAAUACCUUGCUGUUUUGACGUUACCAACAGAAUAAGCACCGGCUAACUUCGUGCCAUGCCCGCGGUAAUACGAAGGGUGCAAGCGUUAAUCGGAAUUACUGGACGGAAAGCGCGCGUAGGUGGUUCGCAAGUUGGAUGUGAAAUCCCCGGCCUCAACCUGGCAUCUGCAUCCAAUACUACUGAGCUAAAGUACGGUAUAGGGUGGGGGAAUUUACUGCGUAGCGUAGAAAUGAUAGAUAUAGGAUGGAACGCCAUAGCCAAGGGCGACCACCUGCACUGAUACUGACACUGAGGUGCGACAGCGUGGCGAGCAGACAGGAUUAGAUACCCUGGCUAUGCCACGCCGCACACGAUGUCAACUAGACUAUGGGAUGCUUGAGAUCUUACUGA